GUCCCUGUAGCGCAAUGGAUAGUGCUUUGGACUUCGAAUCCAAAGGCCGUGGGUUCGAAUCCCACCUAGGAUG
rnacentral:tRNA from 1 species